rnacentral:rRNA from 1 species
UAGGGAAUCUUCCGCAAUGGACGAAAGUCUGACGGAGCAACGCCGCGUGAGUGAAGAAGGAUUUCGGUUCGUAAAACUCUGUUGUUAGGGAAGAAAAAAUGUAUAGUAACUAUAUACAAAAGAGACGGUACCUAACCAGAAAGCCACGGCUAACUACGUGCCAGCAGCCGCGGUAAUACGUAGGUGGCAAGCGUUGUCCGGAAUUAUUGGGCGUAAAGCGCGCGCAGGUGGUUUAGAAAGUCUGAUGUGAAAGCCCACGGCUCAACCGUGGAGGGUCAUUGGAAACUAAUAAACUUGAGUGCAGGAGAGAAAAGUGGAAUUCCUAGUGUAGCGGUGAAAUGCUUAGAGAUUAGGAGGAACACCGGUGGCGAAAGCGGCUUUUUGGCCUGCAACUGACACUGAGGCGCGAAAGCGUGGGGAGCAAACAGG